rnacentral:rRNA from 1 species
AACGAACGCUGGCGGCAUGCCUAACACAUGCAAGUCGAACGAAGCCUUCGGGCUUAGUGGCGCACGGGUGCGUAACACGUGGGAAUCUGCCCUUUGGUUCGGAAUAACAGUUAGAAAUGACUGCUAAUACCGGAUAAUGACGUAAGUCCAAAGAUUUAUCGCCGAAGGAUGAGCCCGCGUAGGAUUAGGUAGUUGGUGGGGUAAUGGCCCACCAAGCCGACGAUCCUUAGCUGGUCUGAGAGGAUGAUCAGCCACACUGGGACUGAGACACGGCCCAGACUCCUACGGGAGGCAGCAGUGGGGAAUAUUGGACAAUGGGCGAAAGCCUGAUCCAGCAAUGCCGCGUGAGUGAUGAAGGCCUUAGGGUUGUUAAGCUCUUUUACCAGGGAUGAUAAUGACAGUACCUGGAGAAUAAGCUCCGGCUAACUCCGUGCCAGCAGCCGCGGUAAU